GUAGGAAUCCCCUCUCCCCCUCCCGCCCAAGCACUUUCUCUGAGACCUCAGAGUCCCGUUCUAUCUCCGCUCUAGUUUCCCAGCAGGCGCCUCCAUCAGGCGGCAUCCUUCCUCUCCACUCGGGUUUCACAGAGGCUGGAUGGAAAGGCGCCACGGAGUCUUGUAAACAGCAUCUAGGACAAUGUCCUCCAUCUCAGCCCCAGCCUCUGCCUCAAUUUCUCUGUCUGCUUCUCUCUUCUUCAUUCCUUUGAGACCGCCUGGUUCCUUAGAACCUUUUAUAGGUGGGGAAGGGCGGUGGCUCUGAGCUCCAGGAUCUCCAGAGUUUGGUUUCAAGGUGGCAGGAUUUCCUAUGUAGCUGUUGUUCCCCUAUGUCACUAUGUUGCCCAGGCUGGCCUUGAACUCAUGACUUUCCUGCCUUCAGCAUCUGGACUGUUGGGAUUACAAGAGAACAUACUUGGCCUGAAAGUGACAUCUAAAACACCCUUGUGUGUUCGUGAGUUUGUCUGAGCAUAUGUGGAGGUUAGAGGGUGUCCGUGCAUUUUGGUCUUUACCGUCUACAAUGCCUCAGUCAUGAUCGUUCUUGUUGACCAUGGACCGCUGGGUUCCAUGAGUUCUUCUGUUUUUCCAGGCAUCCCCUGUGGCUACAGUUCCACAGGAUCUGUUGCCCAAUUCUGGCCCCCAUGGGUCCCGCACACCAGCGAGGCACAGACAUAUAGGCAGGUGAAACACUCAGAUAAUAAAUUAAAAAUGACAACUCAAAAAAAGAAAGAAAGAAAACUGAAGAAGGGAACUCAAGUGAGCUGCAGCCGAGAGAGAAGAAACUGAGAUGGAGACAAGUUCAAGUCUGGCCUGCAGCCAUGGAAACUUGGGGUCAACUAUGAGCAGUUCCUGGAGCUAAAUGAGCACUUCCUGAAAGAACGCCGCUCUAAGGAGGAGACUCUGGAGGCCUUGGCUGACAAACUCAAACUGACAAAAGGACGAGUUAUACUUUGGUUCUCCCAGAAAAAGAACUGACAUAAUGGUCAAGCAGAUGUCCAAGCCUCAAGUCCACAAGCCUUGGGGAAGAUACAGGUACCACUGGACACCAAGAGAGACCACCAGGCAGAACCCCAAGAAAGAAAGAAAAAGAGAAACAGUUAUGUCCAGGCUCAGUUUGAUGAGGCAAUGAGUUUAUUAGGACUUAAUAAAUAAUUCUU